UACGUAGGGGGCUAGCGUUGUCCGGAAUCAUUGGGCGUAAAGCGUGCGCAGGCGGUUUUGUAAGUCUGUCGUGAAAUCCCCGGGCUCAACCUGGGAAUUGCGCUUGAAACUAGCGGGCUUGAGUGUGGCAGAGGGGGGUGGAAUUCCACGUGUAGCAGUGAAAUGCGUAGAGAUGUGGAGGAACACCGAUGGCGAAGGCAGCCCCCUGGGUCAACACUGACGCUCAUGCACGAAAGCGUGGGGAGCAAACAGG
rnacentral:rRNA from 1 species